AAAGAAGCAAAAUGAUGAGCAUUAUUUACUUGAGCCUUAGAGAAGUGUGUGAGUAUGAAGUGUGAGUAUGAAAUUGUGUGAUUGUGAGAAAUGUGUCCCUUUCAACUGGGCAAUGAUGGCUAAACUGAUAAGAUCUGAUUGCUUC
ensembl:snoRNA